rnacentral:tRNA from 1 species
GCUGCCCUCGGCCGACGGAACCGAGGUCGCCGCCUUCCACGCGGUGCCCGGCGGCGCGUCCAGGGUGGGAGUUCUCGUCCUCCCGGACAACC